CACAUCCGGAUCUCAUGGGCCUCUCAUCAUAACCCCAUGAGUAAGGCGGGCCAGGGAGUUUACAGCAGGGAUAACUGAAGACCAGAGAGGUGCGGUGACUUGAGCAAGGCCACACAGCUGGUACAAGAACUCUAGAAUCCUAACUCCUAGGAAAAGGGAGUUUUCCACAUGGCCCGCUCCACAGUGGCGCUUGGCAGGUACAAUGUCUGAGCCACAGUCCACCUGCUGAAUGCACGAAUGUGGUCCCAGAGGUGCACAGACCGUGUCCCCACACCUACCCCCAGCGGACCAGCCCUCAUUGCUUCCUGAACAGUGAAGUCCCUUUCCACCUCUGAGACUGUGCUGGUGCCAGAUUUUUCCCCCUGGAAUGGAAUGCCUGUCUUCCUCCUUUCUGCUCAGCACAGGGCUCGGCUCAUAGACUGCACUAAAUAAAUAUUCAUUGAGUUUCUGAAA